rnacentral:rRNA from 1 species
UACGAAGGGGGCGAGCGUUAUUCGGAAUCACUGGGCGUAAAGCGUGCGUAGGCUGUUUGUCAAGUUGGAAGUGAAAGCCCAGGGCUCAACCCUGGAAUUGCUUUCAAAACUGUCAGACUCGAAUCUCGGAGAGGAUAGCGGAAUUUCCAGUGUAGUAGUGAAAUACGUAGAUAUUGGAAGGAACACCAGUGGCGCAAGCGGCUAUCUGGACGAGUAUUGACGCUGAGGCACGAAAGCGUGGGGAUCAAACAGG